GUAUAAAAUAAAUGACACUGAGUAUUAUUUUUGGGGAAAAGAAUGACACUGAAAGCUUUUUCUUUAUUACCUGCAGAGGAGAAGAAAGUAAAGAGCACUAAAGUGGAAGCAAAACUUAAAAAGGAAGUGAAGGAUGGAAAAGGAGAAACAAAGGCGGCCGAGAAAGUCAAGCAGGCAGAGAUUAAACCAACAGAAACUGGGCUAAUAAAGGCCAAAACGAAAGUUAAGGAGGAGAAAGCUCUUCAGACUGUAACUAAAUCGGACAAGAAAGAUCAAUAUGCGUUCUGUCGCUAUGUGAUUGACAUGUUUGCGCAAGGGGAUUUUUAUCCAGGUUCAGAAAGAGCUGGGAAGUCCUAAGGAUGUAGCUGAGACACAAAGACUCUCACAAAGAGAAGAAGGACACAGAUUUUUGUGGAGGGAAAAUGAAAAUCUUGGGAUUCUGUACGGAAAGGGUUUGUGAAGCCUGUUCUCAAAGAGUGACAUGGAAAGGUAGGGGGUUCCAUUACAAGGGAACAAAAUAUUGUACCCCCUCUAUGACUUUUAAAGACAGCUGGUUAUAAAUGGAGGAACUGUUUUAGGCUCAUAGG
rnacentral:lncRNA from 1 species